rnacentral:misc_RNA from 1 species
GGAAUAAAAGUCGUAACAAGGUUUCCGUAGGUGAACCUGCGGAAGGAUCAUUAUUGUAUAACCGAGGUGCGAGGGCUGUCGCUGACCCGAAAGGUCGUGCACGCCCGAGUGCCCUCACACACAUCCAUCUCACCCCUAUGUGCACCACCGCGUGGGUCCCCCUUUGGCUUGUUCGGAGGGGGGCUUACGUUUUCACACAAACUUUGUAUGCAGUGUAGAAUGUAUUUUUUGUUUUUGCGAUCACGCAAUCAAUACAACUUUCAACAACGGAUCUCUUGGUUCUG